ACAAUUCUAAUGCUCACCUCAAUCCAGGUACUCAUGUCUGCAUUCUGGGCUCCAUAACCUGCCUUAGGUAUGACUUCAAACUCUUGUUUUCAAGCAACUCUACCCAACUCCACUAGCAUGCCUACCUACUCAUGACCUGACUCUUCCAUUUCUUUUCUUCAUCACUCUACUUAGGAUUGCUGAUUCAGUACUUAAAGUCAAGGAAACUUAUUUAUUUAAAUUUGGGUAUCAUAUACAAGAAUAAAUUUCGGUAUUGGUAUGUCCUAAAUUAUUCUUUGUAUACAGUGACUUUGAUACUAGUCUGUACUACAUAACAAGACUAUGUCUCAAAAAACAGAGGAAUUUGAGAGUUCAUUACAUAGUUCAUCUGUUACACAUGCAUCUCAAAAUGAAUAUAGAAAUAUCUUCCAUUAGAACUGUCAACCUGGGUAGACUGCCAGAGCCAGUCAGGCAAAUUUGUUUCCAGAAACUUCAGCCAGAUUCCUUUGCUUUUCGUAAGGGCCCACAGACCUGUGUUCACGAAACCUUUCCAUCUGACCACUUGGAUUGCAUCCUCCAUUCCCCUGGUCAUGCCCUUGAAGUAGUUCUGGUGUGAAGCCUAGAGUCACAACAUAAUUUGCCCGUAUCUGCAGUGACAAAUGAUUUGUGCAGUUUUGUUCACAAUCUUAUCUUCCUGGCAAGUCAAGCUAAUUAAUGCCUUUGCACUCAGUAAAGAUUUGUUUACUGGUUUUCUAGCCACAUUUGGCAACUUGUAGUAAAUAGCCACCCUUCUUUUCUUUCCCUUACCCUUGCAGUUGAUGUGUUGUAAGAU